AACGAACGCUGGCGGCAGGCCUAACACAUGCAAGUCGAACGAGAUCUUCGGAUCUAGUGGCGGACGGGUGAGUAACGCGUGGGAAUCUACCUCGUAGUUGGGGAUAGCCCGGAGAAAUCCGGAUUAAUACCGAAUAAGAUCUACGGAUGAAAAGGUGCCUCUGCUUGCAAGCACUUGCUAUGAGAUGAGCCCGCGUUAGAUUAGUUAGUUGGUGGGGUAAUGGCCUACCAAGACGACGAUCUAUAGCUGGUUUGAGAGGAUGAUCAGCCACAUUGGGACUGAGACACGGCCCAGACUCCUACGGGAGGCAGCAGUGGGGAAUAUUGGACAAUGGGCGAAAGCCUGAUCCAGCAAUACCGCGUGUGUGAAGAAGGCCUUCGGGUUGUAAAG
rnacentral:rRNA from 1 species